CUGCGAGUGUGUGUGCCGAACGAGGAGCAAGGAGCUUGUGCGAGCGAGUGUGCGAGCGGGGGUGCGCGUGUGAGUGUGCGUGCGCGUGGCGCGGGCGCCGUCGCUGCUCGGAGCCUGGCCGGGCCGGGGUCCGCGGGCUUCAGCGCGUGCGCUCGGCCUGCGGGGAGCCCAGGUCCCACGCGGCCGGCAGCCAGUCAGGGCUGCGAAGGUGCAGGCCGGCCAAGCGCUGCGGACCCGGCGGGCUGCAGGAAGAACUAACUAUACCCCGAACAUCCGCUGUCAGCAGGCACGAGACUGUGAUUCAAGAUGAGCGGCCGAAGCAUCCCCUGCGUGUGUGAAGAAGAUCCAGCAAGAGGAGGAAGCAGGGUUCCUGAAAGCCAGGCUGACGACGAAAAAUCCUGUGCUGAGUUAACGUGGGUGUCUGAAUGGGCAGAAUCGGUGUAUGAACAGGCCGCCCCACCCCCACCCUGGCAGGGAUACACUGUGAGGUCAAAGCUGGACCCUGUGUCUGUCUUCAGGACACGAACCAAUUUAAAAAGAAAUCAUUCACUUAAAAAGACUUUUUAAAUCAGCUUCCACUGGUGCAGACUGACUGGUUAAUAUCAUGUCAACUUAACGUAUUCUGAAAAUAAGGGUUACUAACUUUCACAGACAACCAGUGGGCUCAGGGAGCCAUGAAGCUGUCUCGGGAAUGCAUACAAGACACAUAUAGAUGAAGCUGGACGCUUGUCAGACGUGUGAACUAAGUCCCUGUAACCAAGGGAGGAAGUGAUCACAUCACCUCAUUGGCUCUGCAGAUCUAAGUCAACUCAAAAAAGGCAAGCAUGGCCCAGAGUCGGAUGCACCCUCAGAUUCAGCAGCCGGCCACCGGCAUCCCCUUUUCCCCCUUCCACGGUGGUACAUGGAAUAAAAACACGCCCCGGGCUUGCUGGAAUACCAAGGAAACAUUCAUGCCCAUGGAAAGAGGAGCCUUCACUAACCUUGAGUGGGAGAGAACCAGCCAGGGCCUCUGAGGCACAUGGAAAUACUUGUCUGAAGGAGUUGGCUCUUAGAAGUCACAGCACAGAUGCCUGAAGCAGAAGGAGAAGCACCUGUAGUGGCUGUCACCCUGCAGGCACCUCUGUUACUGGAGUCGCCAAGAGACAGUAUUACAGAAGCCUUGGAAGUGAGAGUGCUCCCCUAAGGAGAGGUCCAGGAACCUGUUGCUAAGGGGCCAGCAUGGCAGUGCCCCUGCUGGGCCUGCUUAGAAGGAGCCCCGGUGCUUAGUGGUUCCUUUCUGAAGCCUAGGCUAAGAAUUCUACAUGGCUUCAUCCUCUGCUCUACUCAAGCAAAGAGGAGCUUCAACUGCUGGGUCUAAGGCACACGUGGAUGUUGGAGCUCAGCUCAACAACUGGGAAUGGAGGACCUCUCCAGAGCCCCAGAAGACCCCCGCCCGGGUGUGUGUGACAUCAGUUGGGGAGCUAUUAAUAACUGCCCUCCCCCCCCCCGUCAUAUUUCCUGAACUGUGUGGGGAAGGCGAUUGUGAGGCGCUCUGCUGGAAUUUGGCAGCGCGGAGGCUUGGAGAGCAGCCCCAUGCUGGCUCCUAUUCAGCCGGCCAGUUUUCCUCGAGCUUUGGAAGUUUCACUCAGCCGUGCACUCAAUGGCUUCACAAAGCUGAUUACAAGCUUCAGCGCAUUCCUGAAGGAGCCAAAAGCGACGCAGGUGCAAACGAGCCGAGGGAGCCCCUUAUCCCGGUGACAGAAUGGGACAAGCUGGGAAAGGCUUGGACCACACAAAUCCAAGGCUCACCAGGCAGCAGAGAGCCUGCCUUGGGAACCGGGGGUCAUUAUCCGCCCUAUUCAGCGGGGCCGGGGACCCUGGGGCCCGGGAGGCCGGCCGGGCGCAAGCGCCACCGCCAGUGCGCGCCCACAGCAGUGGGGACCCCGCUGGGCGUUGCAACCCGUCGGGAUGUUGGGCGCUGCGUUUGUUCCCACCGACAGCGGUCGGCGAAAUCCAUCCUGCUGGUGAAAGCCGGUGUCCAGGCUAACUCGGAUACAGGAGAACGAGGGUAGCGAAGAUGCUCAGUGCGUGGACAGUGCGUAAUUUCGUCUCCAUCACAGUCACUUAUCUGGAAACCUGCGGCUGGAUUAAUCGCUAUAUUCCCAAGAUGAGCGGUGCUGCAAUCCGCAGUGAACACGGGUGGGAACAUGGAAACUUCCCCCAGGUUCUUGCGGGGGCCAGCAGCUGGCCUGCUCCCUGCAGUGGCUGCUGCACAGUUGCUAGCACCUGUUUGGGCUCGGGUUGGGGGUCCACGGGCACUUAGGCGCACAGAAGAUGUGGAAGAGGAGAAGGAAACAGGCCUGUGGGGACUCCGGCCUGAGAGAGGUUGGUUAGCUCUCAGUAAAGGCACAGAACUGCCUAUGUAAAGAGCUUUUUAACCUGAAAACGGUGCUGCCAAAUCUUCAGACAGUGGUCUAUUCAGAUGCAGAAAAAUGUUCCCUCCCAUCUUGAUCUCCCAGUCUCACCCCUACCACGCCCACUGCUGCGCCUUAGGCCCCUCCCCUGGAAUUUCCUCUUUCGGGAUCCUGGUCCUCCAAGGGUUAGUAAUAUUUACUUAGGAACUGUGAGCAUGGAAAUAAGUCCUAGUUGUCCAGCCCCUUGUCCUACCUAUUCGAGGUAAAGACUGUAUAGGCUGUAGCCGGGCAGUGGUGGCAGACGCCUUUAAUCCCAGCACUUGGGAGGCAGAGACAGGUGGAUUUCUGAGUUCGAGGCCAGCCUGGUCUACAGAGUGAGUUCCAGGACAGCCAGGACUGUACAGAGAAACCUUGUCUCGAAAAACCAAAAAUAAAAAUAAAAAAAUAAAAUAAAAAGGAUGGUGUGGACUGUGUGGUGCCAAAGCUCUAGGGAGAAUACUUGUCUACAAAAACUUUCUCUGCUGAGGUCAAAGCAUCAGAUUCGAGGGAAAUACCACUUGGUGCUGGAGGUCCCUGGGCCUGGGCAACGAUGUCUCUGUAGGUGUGAAAAGCCGGGCAUAGGACGCAGGCAUGAAAACUGUGUGCCUCCAUUUUGGCAGCAUAUUAAACAUCCAAGAGGGUACCUGGCCACCACAUAUGGCCCCUGAGCAUCCAACAUUCAGAAUGUCAUACACAUAGAUUUUAAAGUUGCUGAAUGAGAAAGAGAUCAUUGAUUACUUGAGAUGUUGGCUACAGAAAUGACGGUGCUUGGGAUGUCUUGGGUUAAAGAAACCACAUUGAGCCUCACUGCCGGCUGCUCUUGGAAGUCACUGUGGCCUUGGUAGCUCCUCUUUGCUGGCUCUGUGCCUUUCAGCGGCUUUCUGUGGUCUUUCCAUGAUCCUCUAUGAAAUGGAAAAGGAAGACAUAAAUGUAAAGAACUGAGCUUGUGAUCACUAGAGGCAGCCCCCUGCGCCCCUCCCAACUCCUCUCAAAGUUACUCUUGUAACAAUCAAAGCUUCCUUGCUUGCAGCAGCAGAAAGAAGUACACCUUGUAUUUACUGCUGGGAUUGUAUUCUUUCUAGUUUAGCUUUAAUUCUGUUUAAUUACAUUGUGAUCAUUAACCGUGCUGCAACUUUUUGUUACUAGAUAUUUUCUUUAUUUACAUUUCAAAUGUUAUCCUUCUUCCUAGUUUCCCCUAUGAAAACCCCCUAUCCCAUCCCCACUCCCACUGCUCCCCCAACCUACCAACUCCUGCUUCCUUGUCCUGGUAUUCCCCCACACUGGGGCAUUAAACCUUCACAUCGAACCUCUCCUUCCACUGAUGUCCAACAAGGCCAUUCCCUUCUACAGGUGCCCACACAGUCAUCUCGAAAACAGAAAGAAGCGAAAUUGAUUUUAGAAGCAGUGUCAGAGAAUUUGAAUGUAUUUACAGACAGGGAGCCAUGGGUCCCUCCACGUGGAGAUCCAAAGACAAAGUGGAGAACAGAGACGGAAGGAAAGGCCAUCCAGAGACUGCCCCACCUGGGGAUCCAUCGAGUAUACAGCUACCAAACUCAGCUACUACUGUGAAUGCCUACAGGUGCUUACUGCAGCUUUUGAAGAAUCUUGCUACUACUGCUGGGUGAUGGAGGAGCUUUGAUUCCAGGGGCGCCUGUGUGAAUCCCAUGGCAUUAUAAGGAAACUUCUCUCUGCUAUUUAGUCAGCACUUGAUGCUUUCUGGCUUUAAUUUUGCCUUACAAAUGAGUGUAACUGCCACCACUCAAACAAAACAAAAUUCUGAACAGAAAUCUGUCUUCUGUGAACAGGGUCUGUACCAAUCAAGAGUGAGUUCCUUCUCAGAAUUCCUCUUGGGGCUAACACAAAGCUUUAGAACUAUAUGAAAUGAGACUUGGUCCAAGGAGGCCAUGAAGGAGCAUGUUCAUAAAUCUGUUUUACAUGUAUUCAUUGACAUUUAUUCAUGCCCUGGGAGUGUGCUUGGCACGGUGAACACAGAGAUCAGAGGACAGUCUUCAGGAGUCACUCAUUUCCUACCAGCCUGUAGGUCCCAGGGAUCUAACUCAGGCCACCUGGCUUGGCACCAACUGCCUUUGAGAUGUUGAGCCAUCAUACCAAUUCAAGUAAACUUUAAUAUUAAAGAUUUCAAAGUACUCUGUAUAAUAUUUUAGAUACCAGAUGUCUGAAAGUAAAGUUGUAAAAAGUCAAAAUUUUAUUUAGUCAUUUGGCUUAUAAGAAAUGAAAAAAACCUGCUCCAUGCUUAUUGUCCUUAAUAUAGUCUAUUAAAGCACGCCAUGAAAAUUUUACAUGAAUAAGCUUGGAGUAUAUACAAUAUCGUUCAAUUUAUUUACUUUGGGUAUUGUAUAACCAAUAUGAAAAAAAAUUGGGAAAAUGUGAAGUUAAAUCCACUAUGUCAAUAAACUGAAAGUAUCUC
ensembl:sense_overlapping Sox1ot Sox1 overlapping transcript